rnacentral:pre_miRNA from 1 species
CUGACAGAAGAGAGUGAGCACACAUGGUGCCUUUCUUGCAUGAUGUAUGAUCGAGAGAGUUCAUGCUCGAAGCUAUGCGUGCUCACUUCUCUCUCUGUCAG